rnacentral:rRNA from 1 species
GAGCGCACCCUUGUCCUUAGUUGCCAGCAUUUCGGAUGGGAACUCUAAGGAGACUGCCGGUGAUAAACCGGAGGAAGGUGGGGAUGACGUCAAGUCAUCAUGGCCCUUAUGGGCUGGGCUACACACGUGCUACAAUGGUCGGUACAGAGGGUUGCAAAGCGGCGACGUGGAGCUAAUCUCAGAAAACCGGUCGUAGUCCGGAUUGCAGUCUGCAACUCGACUGCAUGAAGUCG